ensembl:lncRNA
CCCAACCUGAACCUCCCCUGGUGCAACUGCAGGCCAUACCUGGGGGCAGAGGCUGACCUCCACCUCACUACAACCUCAUUUCAGGUCACUGUAGAGAGCCAUAAGAUCUCCCCUGAGCUUCCUCUUCUCCAAAAUGAACAAUCCCAGUUCCCUCAGCCGCUCCCCAUCAGGCUUGUGCUCCAGACCCUCCACCAGCUUUGUUGCCCUUCUUUGGAUGAAGUGGAUAACAAUUCAUUUCUGUACACUCAGUGAAUACUAAGGGGGUUGUUAUGUGGUCUCCCAAUCCAUACUGGAGGAAAAGCCACCAAAUCAUGCCCUACCCAUGCAGAAGAAGAAGAGAUGCACCCACCUGACAGUGACUAUAUUGGCCUUGCAGAAAAGAGUAGGCGUAGGGAGAAAUCAUGAUGUUCAGUCCCCAUUCAGACCCAUCUCUCUAGCUGCUUCUGGCCCAGUGUUCAGGCAGAUAAUGGCACAGCUGGCAGUGAGCCCAUGCUUUUCUCUGCUGGUGUACGAUGCUGGGAGGAAGGGUUCAUUCAGCAAGCCCCCAGGGCUCUCCUCUGGAUGGCACCAUCCCAGUUCUUCCAGAAGAGAGAGAGAAAGGGUGCUUUUGGUGCCAUUUCUAUAGCUGCUGCUAUUUGGCACCACAGGAUAUGCCCUUAUUUCCUCCCAUUCACUAUCCUGACUCACUUAGCAGGGCUGAUGAUUGUCUCUCAAAGAUUUUUACCUGUGAUGGGAAACGAACAACUAAGGAGGGCAGAAGAGAAGGAGGAGUUGAGGAAGAUGAAGAGGAUGGGAGAGAAGAGCCUUACAAAAGUCUUCACAGAACCAUCUCUGAUCAAAAGCACAGAAAAGGCUCAUUAGAUGCAGGUGAAAACAAAGAUAAAAUGAAUAGCUCAGAAGUAAGAGGUGAUGCAUGAAAAAUGCAUGAAAUGGAGACAGACUGAUGAGCUUGAGCCCUCUGUAGCACACGCUCUGCUACCCGUGACCAGUUGUUCUAUUUUGGUCUCCAUUUGAGGAAAGGAUGGGAAACGCUGAGCUUUGCUCUCCGUGACAGCGACAGGGCCUGAGGGAACAGCAUGGAGCUGUGCCAGGGGAAGGUCAGGUUGGAGGUUAGGAUGAGGUUCUUCACCAGAGGGUGGUGGGCAUGGAACAGGCUGCCUAGGGCAGUGGCACGGCCCCGAGCUGCUGGAGUUCAAGGAGCGUCUGGUCUGGUCAAUGUACUCAGACAUAAGGUCCGACUUCUGAGUGGUUCUGUAUGGAGCCUAGAGUCGGACUUGAUGGUCCUUAUGAAGAGACCUUCUUCAGUUGCCUUCUCUGAUGCUGCAUGUUGGUCCUGGCUGUACAUCUGUGUGAACCUGGGCACGUUUUAUUUGGCUCUGAGCUUCACUGCUUCCUUCCAGAAGAACAGCCACUGCCUGCUGAUGGUCAGUAUGGAUGCGGUGUCCUCGGCGUGGGGUUGACUGUUGCUGUGCCCUCCUCUACCUAGCAGACAAGUCUUACGCUAGAGCUUGUGCAUUUCUCAUCCUCUGGAUGGCAGGGAGCAGGGGAAGGUGGCAUAGGGAGUCAGCGAGCUCAUCCCAACUGAUCUGACACAAAUCCACACGCGCCUGUGAAAGGGGAACGGUUACACAAGCUGCCUUCAAUGUCCUCUAACAGCUGUCAAAAACGCAUCCCACAAAUCCAGCUGAGAUAUCAGCUGAAGAGGCACUUGAGAUGCAACGUAAGGAAGACUGUCACAAGUAGGUUGCAGUGAUGGACUGAAGGCAGGAGAGUUUGUUUCAGGCCCUGGGACAUGCUCUGCCCCAACUUCUGCCUCACAGCCAGCCUGAGUGUGGCCCACAGGACUCCUAAAAAUGGAUCUGUGAUGGGAAGGGUGGGAGGGAUGGCCACACCAUGCCCUGCCAUCUCCAGAGGGGAAUGCUGCUCCUACAACCUACCCACAAUAAGCCCAGACUCAGCGGGCUCACAGGUAAGAAGAAAGUUACUAUCUGUUCAUCAUUGCCUGGGUGAGGUAACACCUGAAUGUAGUCCAGCCUGCCCCAAAAGGUCCUCAGAUUCAGUGGCCUGUGUCUGUAAGCUCCACUCGGCUCAUUUGUUCGAUCAAGCUCAAUGACACUAAGGAGAAAAUAGUGGGUAGCAGUGAGAAUGAGAUGGCAGGUACUGUCACCUCCCUCUGCUCACUGCUGAAGGAAGCUAGGCAGGCCUAUGACUGAAGCACGUCACUGCCAACUCCCCUGAGAUCACACAAGUCAUAAAUAGUUGAGAAACAUGUUGCAACUCAGUUUUUAACUCUUGCUUGCACUAAAGGUUUUCUAACUGUCUAACUACAGUCCCACAGACAUAGAGUAGUCCUGGAAUAACACCUGCCAUCUGCUUAUGGUGAUGGAGACCCUUGUAAAGAGAAGGUGUGGCCUUUUGAAGCUGUGACAGAGAAUAAUGCAUAAUGUAGGCCAAGGUUGCAUUUAGUUUUCUGGCUGGCAGACAUAUACACUGCACAGCCAAGCCAGAUUUGCUGCUGACUAUUUCAUAGAGUCAUAGAAUCAUAGAAUGGCUUAGGUUGGAGGGGACCUUAAAGAUCAUUCAGUUCCAACCCCCUGCCAUGGGCAGGGUUGCCACCCACCAGCUCAGGCUGCCUGGGGCCCCAUCCAACAUGGCCUUGAACGCCUCCAGGGAUGGGGCACCCACAGCUCUCUGGCAGCUGUGCCAGUGCCUCAACACACUCUGAGUAAAAAUUUUCUUCCUAAUGUCUAGCCUAAAUCUCGCCUCUUUUAGUUUAAUGCCAUUCCCCUUUGUCCUGCCACUAUAAGACCUUGUAAAAAAUCAGUCCUCCUCCUGCUUGUAAGCUCCCCUCAAGUACUGGAGGGCAGCAACGAGGUCUCCCUGGAGCUGUCUCUUUUCCAGGCUGAAACAAGUCCAACUCCCUCAACCUUUCUUCACAUGAGAGGUGCUCCAGUGCUCUGAUCAUCUUUGUGGCCUUCCUCCAGGCCCUACUUCAACAGCUCCCCAUCCUGCCUGUGCUGGGGGCCCCAAGCCUGGAUGGGGCUUCAUGAGGGUGGAGCAGAGAGUGGCAAUCCCUUCCCUCUCCCUGCUGGCCAUCCUUUUGAUGCAGCCUAGGAUAUUGUUGGCCUUUUGGGCUGCAAGAGCACAGUGCUGGCUCAUGUCCAGGUUUUUGUCCAUCAGGACCCUCUUGUCAGCUUAGAGGAGGAAGUCACCAGUGAAUAGAUCUAAAAAUGGAGUGAAGAGCUCUUGGAGGGGGGUGGCUCCUGAGCUGUGGAGAGCCUUCUCAUUGUUCAGCUGCCGCCCUGACGUCUGUCUGCUUGCACAGUGAGAGAAUGCCAGCCAUUUUCUUGCGCUUAGCCUGACUGCCAAAGCUGCCCUCAGAUUCCUUCUCAGCCAAAUUCCUUCACAUCUCUGCUGCUUUCUGUUGUCUGCCAUUGUCAUGGAGAGUAAAAACGAUCCUACAUAAGGCACUCAAACAAUAUGGAGCUGGAGUCACUAGAUGUGAGGUUUGUCUGACACACUCGCCAUGAGAUCUUUAAGGGCCUCUGUGAGGCAAGCAUAUCUCAGUUGAGUUUUGUGCAGCAGCUGUGUUACGGAAAACCACUAAACUGCUCUUCAUGGUCCAUUUUUUUAUCAGCAGAGUGCAAGUGAGCGUGCACUUAGCAGAGUCCUGCUUGAUAGUGCACACCAGGCAUAGCGAUGUACCUUUGUAGGCUUUGUCUCUAGUGGGAUUUGGGGAUGAGAACGGAGAACAUUACAAACACUUCCCCUACUUUGUGUUCUUCUGUCACUUGCCACAUCCUAGAACUUUCCUCUCACCCCCCAGAGCUGACUCUGGCCAGUUUCAUUCAAAGUAAGGCACUGGUCCCCCUGGUGUAAGUCUCUCCUCCCAAGACUCAUUGUACCAAGCAGACAGCAAGCGUCAGGAGGAAAACAACCUCGUUAACAGAAAUGGAUUUUUCUCGUCAUGCAGAUGAGCAGUGAAUAUUUUUAAACGCAGUCUCAACAAGAUGUGCUAAUUGGUACCACUGUAACCCCACAGUCCUUUCUCGUAAGCAAGCUAGAGAACAGAUGGGUAUUAUUAUGAAACUCCAGGGAGAUGGAUGGCUGCAUAGUAAAGUGGACAUGCCUGGCCCUCCUCCAGUUCUCAGAAAGGACCUCGACAAAGCACUUGAUUCUGAAACCCAGCCUACAGUCACAAGUGGUCUUGAGAUAUGUUGACCAAUCCAAGCUCAGAAGCAUCAGCACAUCAGCCAUCUAGAGAGGGAAGGUAUAUGUAAAAGAGGACAGUAAGAUCACGUUGCGUAAAACGCUAGCUGUUGAAAACAGCAAAAAGCACAGAUGUGCCUUGGGAGGGAGAAAUGUGAAGCAUCAGUGUCUAAAGAGCCACUUGAGAGAAAUAAAGGGCAGCAAAUUGAUCUUGGCUGCGCAGGCCAUGUGUGUCAGCCAGAAAACAAACACGAUUUGGCCUACAUUGGUUUCUGUCACAGCCUUGAAAGGCAAUACCUUCUCUUUACAUGAUUCUGGACAGUAAAUCAUUGGGAAAAAAAAAAAAAAAAAAGAGCUAAUGUGUGGUCCUUUUGUUACCAAAAAGGUUUUGGGAAUUGUGGAGUGCCUUGUGACUCCUCUGCCUGAAACUCAGCUGAGAUCACCCCCUUCUUGCAGAGGACCACAUCUCUUUGUUCUCUCAGCUAUACCCUGCCAGAAUCCACCACAAAAAUAUGUAGAGGAGACACCUGCUUUUGAGAUGCCCAUUUUGCCUUACAUAGAGUGAGGACUGAACCCACACCUCUGGGAUCAUGGUAUGACCCUGAUAUUUCAAGAACAGAAGACCUCAGGUCAUGAUGAGGUCACACCUGUUCAAAAAUCUGUUACUGCUGAGAGCAGGGAUGGCAGUGCUGCUUUUCAAUGCUCCCUGGAGAAAUUCCUUUGCCUUUCCCUCUCUGGCCUCUUUUGUUGCUCACGUGGAUGUCACAAAGAUCUUUGUGAUCCGUUAGCAAAUCAAGGAAUUAAGCAGCUUUAUAUAUGAAACAACCAUCAAGCCAUUCCUACAAGAGAGCAGAUAAGCUCUUCUAUGAAGUCAGAAACUAAAACAAGAGCAUUCCCUACCUCAAAUACAGGUCCCUUUGGUUGAAGAGGGAUAACAGCUGUUAAUCUGUCCCUCUGUAAGUGGUAAAACCUUCACACGUAGGACAUACUUGAGAUGGGAAGAUUAACAGAGGAUAGAACCGCAGUCCAAAAACACUCUAAGGAUGCAGACAUCAGAGGAGGGAGAACUGUUAAGCGUGAGUCUGAAAGCAGAACACUUAAUCUGAUGCCCUGACAGUGUCUGGAAGCUGGGAUGUGGCUGGCUUUGGGCUAAUCUCCAGGGGAAGCGAUGAGAGUCGCGCUGCUUUCUAUCACUUGCACACCUCGUGUGACUCAGACUCUGGGAUGUACAAGGAGUUACCAUCUCAGCACCUCUUCCAUCUCUAGUACUUGGCAAGUAAACGUGCCAUUGCUAUGAACCCCAGCCUUCCUGGCCCCUAAACAACCCAGGAGCAUUCACUGCUCACUGGGGACAGCCCUGUGACAGGACCCAGCAGCCCUCCCACAGCAGGCUGCAGCACACCUCAGCCCUCAACACUCUCCACUGCAGAUUUCCAGAUCUGCUCUGUGGCAAUGAGAAUAAAUAAAUAAGAAAUGUGCAGCUUAAAAUGGGAGCCUGUGCAUUUGACUGUCUCUUGGAAGAAUUUUCUUUGCUUCUGUAAUGCAAGCCUGUACAUUCCCCUCCCCAGCCUGAGGUCUGGAGCUAUUCUUGUUGGCAUGAUGGGAUGCAUAUUGCAGGAGAAAGAAUUUUGCUGAGAGAUGAUGUAUGAUGCUGUUAGCAUGGACAUGGGGGUGCUUGCUCUUCUCCCCGGGAAGGAGGCAGCAGCCAGGUGAGGGUGGGAAGAUGUCAGUCUAUGUUUGCAUCCCUUGAUGAUGCUGACCUUAUGCCCUUGCAGCUGCAGGAAGGCAAAUCACCCAGCUGAGCUGGUUAUCCCUCCACUCACCAACUGAUUGAUAGCAACAAUAAUGCAUUGUUUUAUGGGGCUGAUUGAUGUGAUAGCUGCAUCUCAGGGGCUGUAGUGUUUUGGAGGGUUCUGUCAGCUGGGGAGGUGACAAUGAAGGGGAGCACCCAUGUGGUGCACACCCUCUCACCAUGCAAAUGCAGUUAGAUUUCUUUUUGCUGUGUCUUGUGUUUUCGUGCUGCAGAUCAAUUAAUUUUCAUGGUCCAAUUAGAGUUACAGCUGUUAAAGCCUAGAGCAUGACUGGCUGGUUAGGCUUUGAAGAAUGUGACAUUUUGCAGCUGAAAGCUUUAUCACGCAUAAGCAGUGUUAGCACAGACAUGGCAGAAGUUCACCUAAAUGCCACGUCUCAGAUGGAAUGGGGUCCCUAUCAACAUUUGUAGGUGGGUACAGACCUUUUCUGCCCACCCAUCCCAUCUUUCUAGUGUAUGUUAUUGCCAGCAAUGGGUACAACCAUCUCUGCUCUUCUCCUGUCCAUUCUACUCACCUGUGUUGCACCUACACAAUCAUCUCUCUCCCUUACAGGAAACUCUCAGCACAGGGAGCUGCUUUGGUGACCUUUGGCUGAGUCUUCCAGCAGCAGUUCCUUUCACAUUCCUGGCACUUGAAACAAACCAGGGACAUUCUCAAACAAAAAUCUUCUUUAGACAGUAAAAAUGCAGAAAUGCUAAGAGGCUAUCCGUACAGGCAGUGGUGGCAGAGCUCUGGAGGGCGUUUGGGCAAAUGUCACCUUAAUAAAUAGGCGGACUUAACUCAAGCCACCAACACUGCCAGAACGGCCCCAAGCCCAGCUCCAAUGUGUCUCCGGAAAGGGCACGAGUGCAUGGCUGACUGAGCCGUGGCCUCUCCAGCUUCUAGAAUAUGAAACAUCGUAGUACAGAGAAACAGGCAUCCUUGUUGCAGAGCUAAUCCAGGCAUGCAACACCUGUCCUAAGCCUCCAUCACCUGAGUGCACUGACAGGUUGCCUUUUAUAGCAGGCUGGAUAACCUAGCCCAGCAGGUUCCCCCUUUGCAAGCUGCUUGAAGACAGUGGGUCUCUGAAUGACCACAGGGCUCUUGGUACCGGAUUUCAGUCUAAUAUCAACCAAAAUAAGGGAAGGUUUUGCUUAAUGUCCUAAAGUUGCACCAGGGGAAGUUAAGGUUGGAUACUAGGAAACAUUUCAUCUCCAAAAGAGCGGUGCUGCAGUGGCACAGGCUGCCCAGGGAGGUGGUGGAGUCACUGUCCCUGGAGGUGUUCCAGAGCCGUGUGGAUGUGGUCAGUGGGCAUGAUGGGGAUGGGCUGACAGUUGGACUUGGUGAUCUUAGAGGUCUUUUCCAACCUCAAUGAUUCUACGAUUCGUUGAGCCUAUAUAGACUCUCUCUGCUCCUCAGGACAUAAAAGCAAACUGGUUGUAUAUUGGCACCACUGGGUGUAUAGAGGCACGACUGUCUGGAUGACUGUUUAAAAUAAUCUCAUCUGCUCUGCACUGCACUCAACUCAGUGGCUAUCGUCAUUUUCACUUCCAUCUCAAUGUGAGGCCCAGCAAGCUCCUCUGAGGUGCCCCCAUUCUUUAUUAGGUCCUUGAGGCAGAGACUGCUCCAUUCCCUGGCUGGUGUAGGUCGUGGUGCUCCCUCGGCCAAUGGAAAAGCUGGUGGAUCCAUGUAGAGAGUCUCCUUCUGUACAUCCUGGCUCACAACAAGAUCCUG